UACGUAGGGUGCAAGCGUUGUUCGGAAUUAUUGGGCGUAAAGGGUGCGUAGGCGGUUUGGUAAGUCUUAUGUGAAAUCUACAGGCUCAACUUGUAGUCUGCAUGAGAAACUGCCGGGCUUGAGUAUGGGAGAGGUGAGUGGAAUUCCUGGUGUAGCGGUGAAAUGCGUAGAUAUCAGGAGGAACACCUGUGGCGAAAGCGGCUCACUGGACCAUAACUGACGCUGAUGCACGAAAGCUAGGGGAGCAAACAGG
rnacentral:rRNA from 1 species